rnacentral:rRNA from 1 species
ACCUGGUUGAUUCUGCCAGUAGUCAUAUGCUUGUCUCAAAGAUAAGCCAUGCAUUCUGUGUAAGACCAG